rnacentral:tRNA from 3 species
GCGGCCAUGGCGGAACUGGUAGACGCGCAAGCUUGAGGUGCUUGUGGGGUAACACCCGUGGAAGUUCGAGUCUUCUUGGCCGCACCA